AUUGAACGCUGGCGGCAUGCCUUACACAUGCAAGUCGAACGGCAGCGCGGACUUCGGUCUGGCGGCGAGUGGCGAACGGGUGAGUAAUGUAUCGGAACGUACCAUUGAGUGGGGGAUAACGUAGCGAAAGUUACGCUAAUACCGCAUAUUCUCUCCGGAGGAAAGCAGGGGACCGCAAGGCCUCGCGCUCUUUGAGCGGCCGAUAUCAGAUUAGCUAGUUGGUGGGGUAAAAGCUCACUAAGGCGACGAUCUGUAGCGGGUCGGAGAGGAUGAUCCGCCACACUGGAACUGAGACACGGUCCAGACUCCUACGGGAGGCAGCAGUGGGGAAUUUUGGACGAUGGGGGCAACCCUGAUCCAGCCAUGCCGCGUGAGUGAAGAAGGCCUUCGGGUUGUAAAGCUCUUUCGGCCGGGAAAAAAUCGCAUGGAUUAAUACUCUGUGUGGAUGAUGGUACCGGAAUAAGAAGCACCGGCUAACUACGUGCCAGCAGCCGCCGUAAUAC
rnacentral:rRNA from 1 species